rnacentral:rRNA from 1 species
GGUUAAAAAGCUCGUAGUUGGAUUUCUGUUGAGGAUGGGCGGUCCGCACUACGUGCGUGUAUCUGUUACAGCCUCGGCAUCCUCAUAAAGAACAGUGCUGCUCUUAAUUGCGUGGUCUGGAAUUCAUGACUUUUACUUUGAGGAAAUUAGAGUGUUCACUGCAAGCAAUCGCUUUGAAUACAUUAGCAUGGAAUAAUAAUAUAGGACCUUGGUACUAUUUUGUUGGUUUCUAGAACUAAGGUAAUGAUUAAUAGGGAUAAUUGGGGGCAUUCGUAUUAACGCGUCAGAGGUGGAAUUCUUGGAUUGCGUUACGACGAACUACUGCGAAAGCAUUUGCCAAGGAUGUUUUCAUUGAUCAAGAACGAAAGUAUGGGGAUCGAAGACGCUUAGAUACCGUCGU